rnacentral:rRNA from 1 species
UAGGGAAUCUUCCACAAUGGACGCAAGUCUGAUGGAGCAACGCCGCGUGAGUGAAGAAGGUCUUCGGAUCGUAAAGCUCUGUUGUUGGUGAAGAAGUAUAGAGGCAGUAACUGGUCUUUAUUGACGGUAAUCAACCAAA